UACGAAGGGGGGCUAGCGUUGUUCGGAAUUACUGGGCGUAAAGCGCGCGCAGGCGGUUCUUCAAGUCAGAGGUGAAAGCCCAGAGCUCAACUCUGGAAUGGCCUUUGAGACUAGAGAACUAGGGUACGGGAGAGGUGAGUGGAAUUCCGAGUGUAGAGGUGAAAUUCGUAGAUAUUCGGAAGAACACCAGUGGCGAAGGCGGCUCACUGGCCCGUUACCGACGCUCAGGCGCGACAGCGUGGGGAGCAAACAGGG
rnacentral:rRNA from 1 species